rnacentral:tRNA from 1 species
GGUGGCUUAAUGGUAGAGUGCUUGCCUGGCAUGCAUGAGCCCCUGGGUUCCAUUCUCAGCACCA